rnacentral:lncRNA from 1 species
CAAGCUCUGAGAAGACUUUCUAGCACCUUUUUCCCGAUCCUAAAAAGAGCACGGUGAUGUAGGACAAUUGUAACUUGAGUUAAUGUAGGAGUUAAUGUCACAAAGGCAUUCUGCCUCCAGAGAUGGGAGAAGAGGAACUUUUAAUAUGCUCUCCUCUGACAUGGGCUCUGGAAGGAUGUACAAUUCAUGGUCCAGAUCUAUGACCUCCGGCCAGGACACAGCUCUCCUGAAGGCAACCAGACAAGCCCUCAUUCUCCUACAGAGCAGUGGGACUAUCACCAGUGAAUCCUACCGUUACCCAGUUGUAACUUGGGGCAUAGAUGAGAUAGAAGCUCAACUGAUGUGAGGCGGGAGAGAAAGACAGAGCAAGAGCAUGAAAUAACCCUGCCAGACAGGCGCUAACAUCCUGGUGUGAAAGCCAAGGGAACAAGGUGACUGACACCCGGAAACGUACUUCACAUGCAAAGCGGCAAAGAGCCUAGGAAAGAAGAUCGACCCUGGGUCCUGGGUACGUCCUGGCUUGAGCCCUUUUGAGUUAAUCCAGCAUUGCUCAAGUUGCUUCAUUGCUCUCAGCCUGUUUCCUCCUCCGUAAAAUCCAUCCCCUAUGACCGUAUGGAUUAAACGAGAUAAUACAAGCAGAAAAACUUUGCACAGUACCUCUCACAUAGUUAGAGCUUAACCAACAUGGUUCACUAUUAUUACAGAGGUUCGCACAGCGAGUGUGAUGGAAGCGUGUCUGAUUCCAGACCGCUUGGGCUGUGUCUACGAGGCCACGUGUGUGGCCGUCCCUGUCCUUCCUCUCAGAGUCCAGUUCUAGGAAGUGGAUGCGUCACCGCCUGCUGAAUCACUCCUGACACGGAUCUGGCGAGGAGCGACACGUGCUCCCGGCUCUGCUGCUCCCCGGGUCUUGCCUCCCCAGCAGCUCGGGGCGCAGCUGAGGAAGUUCACGGGCCUUGCCAACCAGGAUUGCUCAAGAGGGCCCAGCAAGGACCGCAAGGGCUGCUCCGUGCCAGGCCGCACAGAGCCUCUGCGGUGGGAAUGGGUGGGCUGGGGAGGUGAGGGGCUGCCUACCCCCGAGCACUUGCGGAGGCAGGAGAGGGAACCAACAGAACCACUCUCUAGCCAAACCACAAUCCAUGCGAUCUUCGAAGGAGAAGUUAAAUGAUGAGACUCUCUCAACCCAGAAAAAUGGUGAUUUAGAUGGCCCAAAAAAUAAAAGGAGAAAAAAAAAAAGGCA